rnacentral:rRNA from 1 species
UGAUAUUGAAUGUUGGUACAGCUUGUACAGGAUAGGUAGGAGCCUUGGAAACCGGAGCGCCAGCUUCGGUGGAGGCAUCGGUGGGAUACUACCCUGGCUGUAUUGACCUUCUAACCCGCCGCCCUUAUCGGGCGGGGAGACAGUGUCAGGUGGGCAGUUUGACUGGGGCGGUCGCCUCCUAAAAGGUAACGGAGGCGCCCAAAGGUUCCCUCAGAAUGGUUGGAAAUCAUUCGCAGAGUGUAAAGGCACAAGGGAGCUUGACUGCGAGACCUACAAGUCGAGCA